GUGUGCACGAGGACCGGUUCAACACCCUGGGCCCCCGCCCCGCCCGGGCCUCCCGCCUGGCCCCGCCCCCAAGGUCCCUAUUGGAGUCUGCCCCGCGGGGCCCAGCGGCUCCAGUGAGAGGAUACUGGGACUCCCCGGCCCCGAGGCUAGAAGAUGCUGUGGCCGCCACUCUCGCCGCCUCAGGUGCUACUAGGUCGGCCCCCGAGUCUUCCCCUUCUAAGGAAAUGCAGUGGGUGUCUCUAGAGCGGCCAUCCUUAACGAAACCGCGCCACUGUUUUCCUAGCGCUCUGCCUCCAGCACCGAGGAGUAGCUGUGCCUGCUCAGGACCCCACCUGUCACCAGGAGGGGAACCUGGAGGAAGAGGCAAUGGCUGCAGAGCUGCCAACAGCCUAGUCAGAGCCUCAGUCAUCUGGCUCCAUCUUCCUGAUGCCCUGGCCUCCUGGGACACUGAUGGAGAUGAGCCUGUAAUGUUUCAGGACCCAGUAACUUUUGAGGAAGUGUUGGUGGACUUCUCCCAGGAUGAGUGGGCCCAGCUGGCCUCCGCUCAAAAAAUCCUGUACCAAGAUGUGAUGCUGGAGAACUACAGGAACCUGACUUCUGUGGGUGAGUGUGGUUGGCCAUCUCUCUUUGUUAGUAGAUUUUGUUUGUUUUUGUUUUUCAGAGCUAUCAGUGGUUUAACGAUGGGGGCGUUUACACGUCUGAAGCAAGGUCCUGGAGCAACACCCCACCAUAUGUAUACAAUGGGCAGGAUGUCAUUCAGAGUUUUUUUUUUUAAGCAGAUUUAUUAUUUUUAA
rnacentral:lncRNA from 1 species